rnacentral:tRNA from 1 species
GGCGACAUGGCCGAGUGGUAAGGCAGAGGACUGCAAAUCCUUUUUUUCUCCAGUUCAAAUCCGGGUGUCGCCU